AUGGUGCUGGUCCAGUCGACUGUCAGCCCGCUGAUCGUGGAGGCCCAGCCCAUCCGGAGCGCAUAUAAAUUCAUGUGGCUGCGUAAAGGUUUGUUGGAUCCCUCACUAGGUUUUCUAGACACCAAAUCGGAAGUGCGGCGGCUAGGUCGUGGUGUGCAUCGUCUUCUCCGCCCUCCUCCCCCUCCUCCACUCGUGUGUUCCUUUGCAGAGCUGGUCGCCAUGCGUUCUCGCGAAGACCAGCGCACGACCAAGCGGCCUCUGGACCUGCUGGAUCCAGAGGCGGAGCGCCGCAGUGAGCAAGAUCUACGCGAGCAGGCGCAACAAGAGCGGCGGCCGGCUCGCGAGGGGGAUUUGGAUCCUCCUCCGCCGUCGCGGAACAAGCAACAGAACAGAAAGAAGGAGCAAAGGCGUCGGAGUCAAGAUCUGCAACGUAAGGAGAAGCAGCACCAGUUUUGCGGCGACCAGGUUGAAGAUCCUUUUGCAAAGAAAUCAAAGCAUAAGCCAUCUGGGUCACUGGCUCUGCCAGCCCAGGCGCAGCUGGCGCUGCCUUCCUCCUCGCAGGGCAUGGCCUUGGCGCCCAUCCUGGUCGAGGAAGCGGAGCGGCUAGAGUGCUUCAAGUACGGCCGCAUUGGGCCCUUCCAGUCGCAACGCCAGUUCAAGCCGCUCUGUGUGUUGUGCAAGGAAGAUGGGCAUGCUUCUGCUUACUGCCCCUCCUGUGGCAAGCUACUGAUGCUUCAAACUAUGGGCCACGCGAUCCCAGGGGAGGGCUUUUUCUGCUUACAGUUCAAGGAAGAAGACGAUGAAGACAGUGGGGUGCUUGGGGGCAAUGCGGCCAUCAUUUCGGCAGAUCCAGGCACCCUCUCUCAGUGGAUUCUGGAAGAUGAACUCAGGCACCUUGUCGAGGGGGCUUGGGACUGGCAGGUUGUGCAAAUCUCGGAGGCGGAGUUCACGGUAAUCUUCCCAUCCCCGGACAUGUUAUGGAUGGCCACCCGCAGUGGGAAGUUGUUCCUUCCCCUCAACAAUAUCACAACAAGGAUCCGCGAGUUGGUCUGGGAGGAGCCCAAAGGGGAAGUGAUGCCGGAGGUGUGGGUGAGGCUCUCGGGAGUGCCCAAGAAGCACAGCCGUGAGGACAGGCUGAUGGCUGCCAUGUCUAUGAUUGGCCUCCCUCUGGUGGUAGACGAGCUCUCGCUCAUUCGUCCGGGGCCAGUGAGGAUGAAGUUCGCGUGCUGUGCUCCAGCCAAGCUGCGGGGCACGGUCAAGAUCUGGUUCAACAACAUUGGAUACAACAUCACGUUGGAGCCGGAGCUCAAGCCCAUGCGUAAGAGUGGAGGCCCGCCUCCUCCCAAUCAGAACAAUUGCAAGGGUCCUGAUGGCGAUGACAAAGACAAGGAAGAGAGAAUGGACGACUAA
rnacentral:rRNA from 1 species